rnacentral:tRNA from 1 species
GUCGGUAUGGCGGAAUUGGUAGACGCGCUGGGUUUAGGUUCCAGUGUCUUUAUGACGUGGAGGUUCAAGUCCUCUUACCGACACCU